UAAUGAUAAGUUCGGAGAAAUUUUUAAAUAAAAAAAUUCUUUUUCGAGUCUAUCAGAAAAUUUAUUUAUAAAAUCGAUACUAGAACAAGAAUAUAAUCAAAGUGCGUAUAUAAACAGUAUUCUUCCAGAAAGAGAGAGAAAGAGAGAGAGAGAGAGAGAGGAAAGCAGAACUUUCUCGACUAAUAAAAGCGAUUCAUUCUUCCGCAUUUUUUUCUUUUCUUCUUUUCUUCUGUCGCCUGACUGUGGAAAAACGAAAAUAGAUAAUUUGAAGGGUUCGAGAAGAGGAAACGAAGAUACAGUGCCUAUCUGACGGCUUGGAAAACUCAUUGAGGCUGAAACUCCGACAGAUUUCAGUUUAUCACGAGAAAAAUUCACGAUUUUGUCCCAAACAUGCGAUAUUUUGUUACAUCGUCUACCCAUCCCCUGAAGAAACACAAACUUUACUUGGAAUGACGAAAUCAAUGUUGGAAAGAUGCCGAAGCUUUGUCUCUAGCAAACACACAAGAAAACUACCAAGCUGGAUCGGAAAACUAUAUACAACUGAUUUGAAAUUUUCAAAAUGAGAAAUAUGAGAAGAUUUGUGUGUAUUAAGCACGUAUGUGCCACAUUCGUAAGAAGCGCAGUAGGGGUACAGUACGUGAUGCCACCACCACGUGCUGAUUGCUCACAUGGCCAACCUGUGACGAAUCAAGGAGGACGAAACUUAAUCAUUUACAUCUGGAUACAAUACCCCGAAGUACUUACCUUUAUGCGAACUGGGCAAUCACUAAACACUGUGGAUUCUAAGUUCAGUAAUUCUGAACGGUUCUUAGUAGUCUUUGGGGAGGUCACCGAAGCUAUUGCAACGCAGUAAUGCUUUAAGUGAGGCAGACAGAAUGUCUGUGUAAUGUCAGUUGGUGCUACUUAAUAAUGCAACAGACAAAGCCCUUACACCAUCCUCGCCAAUUAUGGAGUCUUCUACCAGUUUCGCUGUCUUGCAUAAUACAUUCAAGUAGGAUAGACGAAGAAAGCCAUCCUGUUAAAUCAUUCAUUGUAAUAGCUCGUAUCCCGUCACUUCACUACAUGCUGACUGGUGCAAUAUUUAUCCUACGGUUGCCAAAACCAUUAACACAGUGUGCGUAAACCAACUGCAGCGGUAGUAGCCAAACAAAUAAGAUAGAAACACUCCUGCACGGCGCAAUUUAGAACAUUUCGUUUGCGGAACUUUCCUUCAACCAAAGGAACUACUAUUUCUUCCUCCUUUAAUAUUUUAAUAAUUAUGCCGUAUGUACAAAGUGCCGAAAAUUG